AACGUGGGUAACCUGCCCAUCAGAAGGGGAUAACACUUGGAAACAGGUGCUAAUACCGUAUAACACUAUUUUCCGCAUGGAAGAAAGUUGAAAGGCGCUUUUGCGUCGCUGAUGGAUGGACCCGCGGUGCAUUAGCUAGUUGGUGAGGUAACGGCUCACCAAGGCAACGAUGCAUAGCCGACCUGAGAGGGUGAUCGGCCACACUGGGACUGAGACACGGCCCAG
rnacentral:rRNA from 1 species